CUACGGGUUGCAGCAGUAGGGAAUCUUAGACAAUGGGGGAAACCCUGAUCUAGCCAUGCCGCGUGAGUGAUGAAGGCCUUAGGGUUGUAAAGCUCUUUCGCUGGGGAAGAUAAUGACGGUACCCAGUAAAGAAACCCCGGCUAACUCCGUGCCAGCAGCCGCGGUAAUACGGAGGGGGUUAGCGUUGUUCGGAAUUACUGGGCGUAAAGCGCGCGUAGGCGGGCUAUUAAGUCAGGGGUGAAAUCCCGGGGCUCAACCCCGGCACUGCCUUUGAUACUGGUAGUCUUGAGUUCGAGAGAGGUGAGUGGAAUUCCGAGUGUAGAGGUGAAAUUCGUAGAUAUUCGGAGGAACAUCAGUGGCGAAGGCGACUCACUGGCUCGAUACUGACGCUGAGGUGCGAAAGUGUGGGGAGCAAACAGGAUUAGAUACCCUGGUAGUC
rnacentral:rRNA from 1 species